UCUAUCCUUGUCUUGGGGGAGCAAAGUAUUCAAUGAUCGUUUAGUGAGAGUACUGUUGCUGAAGCCCAUUAUUAAUUUAAAUCCGCAUCCUCGUGUUAUCAUGUGAGAUGCAAUUUUUGAAGGC
rnacentral:ncRNA from 11 species